UGUAUUUUUAAUUAAAAGGGUAGAAAUGUAAAGAAUGAAAUUAAAAUUUACACGCAUCGUGAUUUACAUUUCUCACUUUCACUUUCACUUUCAUCUAGGGUUUGAGAAUAAAAAAAAAACGCAGGCAUCUGUGCAGUCGACGAAGGACGCCUCCUGCACGCCGGCGACGAAGAAUCGGUCACAUGGUGUUCUCCGGCGGCGGUUUCGUCGAUCUGUACAAGGGCUGUGCAAGGAGGCUGCGGCGGAGGAUUUCCGAUUAAUCCAGGAGGCGGUGGCGGCGGCCGAGUAUUCCAAGGAGGAGGCGGCGGAACCUAUGGGCGUUUUGAAAUUGAGCCUAGUUCUAACAUGGGAUUGCCGCAGUUGUUGGGGUCAUUCUUGAGGCGGAAAGGGGGCCAAAUAUUGCCAAGAAUGCCGCAGCUAGAGGGGCUGCAAUGGCUGCUGUUAGCAGCAACAGAGGUUUCCAAGAAAUGUUGGAGAGAGAGUAUCAAGAGAGAGAAGAGGAGGUUUUGAGCGAUAAUCAUCGUCUUCUUAAUUCAUUGACUUCAUCAGGGGAAAUUAACUAGCCCUAACUAUUAACCAAGUUUAAAUUAAUUAGUUGAAUACUUAAUUGUGUGUUUUGGUGAUUGAGACGUGUGAUAUCGGGAGCUUGUUACAUUUGGAUUCAGAUUCUCAUUUUAUAUUUCUGUUAUAUAUGAAGGCAUAAAUUGGAGUACGUAACGUAAUAUUGUUGUGCGGUGGAUCUUAUUAGUUCUUCCAU